rnacentral:lncRNA from 1 species
CCCGGCCUGCGGACCCUACUGGAGGAGCCGAGCUGCGCGAGUCCGGCGGCAGCGGGUGAGAGACUGCAAGCCUCACCUGCGGAGGGCAGGCUCGGCUUCCUCUGGCGCCUUCCGGGUAAGGCCCCGCCGGCGCUGCGGGAGGACCGACCUCCCUGCCCGCCGCUGGGGAGACCGAGGCUCCGCGGGGCCAUCCGGGGCCGAGGGGACGCGGCCGGGGCAGGACUCCUGCCCACGCCCGACACUAGUGGCUGGCCAGGGCCGAUUCCACUCCCCGCGUCGAGUGCCCGCAUCACCCCUGCGCGGAGGGUGUUUCCCCAAGAAGGAAACCGGCUCAGACGGAGCGUGAAACUUGAGGGUCACACAGCCAGCGAGGCUGGGUGCGGACGCACGCCGCCCGGGCCACCUGGGGGAUCUGAACAGACCGAUUGGCUCCGCAGGUGGCCGCCCAUCGCGGGCCGCUCCUCUGCCCGACCUCGGGCUUCCUCUGCCCCGAGCUGCGUUCUGGAUCCUCAUCACUCCCCUAGAGCACCCCCAAACUCUGUCUCCAGCCCAGGCCCCGUCCCCACGUGUUUCAUCUCCUCUGCCUCAAUCAGGUGGGCUCUCCAGGGAAUUAGCCCACCCUCUGACGACUGGAAACCAGGCCCGCCUGCCCCCUCCUCUCCGUCCCGGCUGCCUGGACUGGACCCUGCCCUCCCGGCCUCCACCUCCAGUCCAGCCCCACAGGCUGCCAGCGAGGCCUCCCUGUUUUCUAUUUUCAAAACUUUCUUGUGGAAGUUUAUUACACGUGUAGGGAAAAGUACAAAUCACAGAUACACAACUCACCUAACUUCACCAAGAGUAUGCGAACAGCAUACAAACGCAGAAACCAAACACCCCCGACGCGAAGUCCCAGCCCCUCCUUCAUCACUACUGCCCAAGGACAACCAUUAUCAUGACUUUAAUGCCACCGAUGGGUCUGGCUGGGUUCUUGCCUUAUGUAAACGUUUUGUAUUGUAUUCAGUAUAUUGUAUUUACCUGACUGGAGAACCUGUUUACACACUGUCAAAAAUUCAAGAGCAACAGAGUCUUACAUACAGUGGUCAAACAUCCUUCACACUCUGCCCCUCAGAGACCUGUCCCUGCAGAAAAAGCCUGUUCUUACUUGCUAGCCAGAGAGCAAAUACGGACUGCAGCAGUAUGCAGGCUUUUUUUUUUUUUUUUUCCUUCUUGCAUUUUGGCACAAAUGGGAGCACUGUUUACACACUAUGUUUGUCCCAUCUGUGCCCCGUCACCCCCCUCCUUAACAUCUCUCAGACAUUUCUCCACAUGGUUACUUAA